UGUCCCAGGCCCUUUGCAAUGGAGGCAGUGGCCGGGGGUCCCCUGUAAGCAGGGAAGCUGACUCUUUGGCCGCUGCUGUGUGUGUGCCCAGCUCCAUUUGCCCAGUCUGCCCGCCUCUGUGAUCCCCCGCAGCACCGGCUGGAAGCGCGCCGUGCGCCAGCGAGGAGCCGCUGCGGAAGAGAGAAGGAGAAGCGGCGUGGGAACGCGGGAGGCAGGAGCGAGCGCGCAAGCAAGCAAGCGAGCGAGCAAGCAAGCGAGAAGAGGAUGCGGAAGCGUGCCGACGCGGGGGGGAAGGAGAGAGGCUCCCUGGGCAAAGCAGCCGUCCCGUUAGCGGGGCCGCAGUCACAUUCAGUCCCAUUGGAGUUUGAGCGUUGCCGGCGCCUUGGCCGGCUUUGUGCUGGGCGACCUCCCUGUAAGCAGGGCUCGGGUCUUUGCUUUUGCUGUAGUUGGCCUUUUGCCUUGCUGCUCCUUUGGCUGCCUGGGGAGCGUGGGCCCCUGUAACGCAGGGCGAGAGCCACCUCUCCGCACCUGAGUGGGAAACGGAGCUCGCCGGACCCCGAGGCCACCCUGUAAGCAGGGUAGUGCCGUUUCCCCGGCCCUCUUCCUCCUCCGGCCCCUCGGCAUCAUCGUUGCCUGGAGGUGGCCUGUCAGUGCGACGGCCCCGUACUCGGGGUGUGCGUCACGGCAUCUGGCCUUUGGCUUUAGCUGGGAAGCCCCUUGGCACGUUGAGGUCUGUGGCCUCCGUGCAGGCUAGGGACAGGUCACAGGCUCUUGUCUGUUGCCCGCGGUUGUGGGUUUAUUCCCAGGGUUUGGCUGCGCUGGGUUGUCCUUCCCUUUGGGAAAGUCGCCUCUGUGUGUGCGCGUUGCCCUUCCUUUCCUUGCUUGUGUUUGUGGAGUGAGAGAGCGACUGCGCUUUCCCUUUAGGCCCCCACAAAGAUGGCUGCAGCUUAGCUUCGACUUCCCUGGGGGGAACGGAGGACUGUGGUGCACGCCGCAAAAGGGGUGUUCCCUCUCAGUCCCGCGAGCGCAGCGA